rnacentral:rRNA from 1 species
UACGUAGGGUGCGAGCGUUGUCCGGAAUUACUGGGCGUAAAGAGCUCGUAGGUGGUUUGUCGCGUUGUUCGUGAAAACCGGGGGCUUAACCCUCGGCCUGCAGCCGAUACGGGCAGACUAGAGUUCGGCAGGGGAGACUGGAAUUCCUGGUGUAGCGGUGAAAUGCGCAGAUAUCAGGAGGAACACCGGUGGCGAAGGCGGGUCUCUGGGUCGAUACUGACGCUGAGGAGCGAAAGCGUGGGGAGCGAACAGG